rnacentral:rRNA from 1 species
AUUGAACGCUGGCGGCAGGCUAACACAUGCAAGUCGGACGAGUGGCGGACGGGUGAGUAAUGCUUGGGAAUCUAGCUUAUGGAGGGGGAUAACUACGGGAAACUGUGCUAUCCCGCGUACCAUAGGAUGAGCCCAAGUGGGAUUAGGUAGUUGGUGAGGUAACGGCUCACCAAGGCGACGAUCCGUAGCUGGUUUGAGAGGACGACCAGCCACACUGGAACUGAGACACGGCCCAGACUCCUACGGGAGGCAGCAGUGGGGAAUGUGGGACAAUGGGGGAAACCCUGAUGCAGCCAGCCCGCGUGUGCGAUGAAAGCUUCGGGUUGUAAAGCACUUGUGGCAGGAAAGCGGUACCUGCAGAAUAAGCACCGGCUAACUACGUGCCAGCAGCCGCGGUAAUUC